rnacentral:rRNA from 1 species
GACGAACGCUGGCGGCGUGCUUAACACAUGCAGGUCGAACGGUAAGGCCCUUCGGGGUACACGAGUGGCGAACGGGUGAGUAACACGUGGGUGAUCUGCCCUGCACUUCGGGAUAAGCCUGGGAAACUGGGUCUAAUACCGGAUAGGACCACUGCCUGCAUGGGUGGUGGUGGAAAGCUUUUGCGGUGUGGGAUGGGCCCGCGGCCUAUCAGCUUGUUGGUGGGGUGAUGGCCUACCAAGGCGACGACGGGUAGCCGGCCUGAGGGGGUGACCGGCCACACUGGGACCUAGAUACGGCCCAGACUCCUACGGGAGGCAGCAGUGGGGAAUAUUGCACAAUGGGCGCAAGCCUGAUGCAGCGACGCCGCGUGGGGGAUGACGGCCUUCGGGUUGUAAACCUCUUUCAGCACCGACGAAGCGCAAGUGACGGUAGGUGCAGAAGAAGGACCGGCCAACUACGUGCCAGCAGCCGCCGUAA